CCCCUGGCGGGCGGCGGCGCGCAGGGACCGCCCCCCGCCUGGCGCCGCCGCCCGCCUCAGCCCAACAUGGCGAUGCACAACAAGGCGGCGCCGCCGCAGAUCCCGGACACCCGGCGGGAGCUGGCGGAGCUCGUGAAGCGGAAGCAGGAGCUGGCGGAAACACUGGCAAACUUGGAAAGACAGAUCUAUGCUUUUGAAGGAAGCUACCUGGAAGACACUCAGAUGUAUGGCAAUAUUAUUCGUGGCUGGGAUCGGUACCUGACCAACCAAAAAAACUCCAAUAGCAAAAACGAUCGAAGGAACCGGAAGUUUAAGGAAGCUGAGCGGCUCUUCAGUAAAUCCUCAGUGACUUCAGCAGCUGCAGUGAGCGCGUUGGCGGGAGUUCAGGAUCAGCUCAUUGAAAAGAGGGAGCCGGGAAGCGGGACGGAAAGUGAUACUUCUCCAGACUUCCACAAUCAGGAAAAUGAGCCCAGCCAGGAGGACCCUGAGGAUCUGGAUGGAUCUGUGCAGGGAGUGAAGCCUCAGAAGGCUGCUUCUACUUCCUCAGGGAGUCAUCACAGCAGCCAUAAAAAACGAAAGAAUAAAAACCGGCACAGGUAUGUAUAUUAGGUUAGGCUGGGAAGUUUUUUUUAAAAACAGAAAAACGUGAUGGAGGAUUGAUCUGAAGUUAAACAAAAAACCACGAGCUGACUAUUAGAAGACUCAUUAGCGCAGAAGCUUCCAGGCUAUAGAGCCCUGCUUCCCUCCUCCGACCUCACAAAGAUAAAUAUCCCUCACCUGAGUGUGCGGCCACCCACCUCUGCUUACCCAGACCCAGUGCCUGUGACUCUGAAUAGUUUGUUCUGAACCGUGGUGACAAGUCAUUUCUGUAAGACCACAUUGGAUCAUUUACUUUGUGUCAUUUUUGGUAACAGAACAGCAAGAAGACCAAGACGUGGUUACAAUUCCAGCAAGUUGCUAACUGUGCGUUUUUCCCUUCUUGGAAUGAGUGUCUCUCCCCCUCCACCCCCCCCCCCCAAACUGGCUGGCACCAGCUUCUUCGUCUGUGAUACCCAUUGAGACAUGUUCUCCGGUUUUGUUUUAUGCCGAAAGUAGAACAUAGGUCCCAUUUCAGAGGGAGGCUGUAAAUAUCUGGCAUUUUCCUAUUUGGUUUGUGUUUUAUUAUUUUUCUAUUGUUUUUACCAUCUUCUUUUCUUUUGGGACUUUUUGUAAUGCCGUUGUACAGCUCAUACCUUCCUGCUGGCAUAUCUGAUCGUCCGCUUCGCGCAGUUGCCACUAUUUUUAACAGAGAAUGAUCUGGUUUACCAUAAAUAAGAUGGGAAACGCGGCUCUGUGUUUUUUUUUGCAGGGGAAAGGUAAAGAGUGUUUAUUUAAUAAUUACCUAUCUUAAAUCUUUCUGCGUUGGAAGCAGUUUCAUGUUCAAGGAACAGGAAAAGCUGAAAGACCUAAGUUUAAAUCAAUCCUUUUAAAAUAUUUUUAUUCUUUUAUAUAAAUAAAAUUUCACAGGUGUUGACUUCUCAUGCUUUACUUUUAAACCUGAGAUUGUUUUUUCACUUAUUUUAUUUAUUCAUAUCAUGCCUGAUGGAAAUUUCUUUCAUUCUCCAUUUUUCUCUCUUUGCUGGUAUCUGCCUGAUUAAACGUUGCUCUAAAAAUCAUUCAGGCAUAUGGAAAGGCUCUCAGUUGCACCCAAAGCCAGUAACGUAUGGAGUUCUUGAGCAGAGUGAAAGAUAGGAUCCGCGAGAGCCAGCGAUGCCCGGCAGACCCCCUUCCUCACCGGGCCGGCCGGGCUGAGGAUCUUGCCGAUUUGUUGAACUGUCACCUGCCUCUUGAGUGGUGCUCUACCUCGGCUGCUCACUGGAAUCACCUGGAGAGCUUAAAGACCUACCGAUGCCUGGGCCCUCCCCCCACCAGAGACUCUGACUGGGGUGCAGUCUAGUUUUGGGGAUUUCCUUCCAAAGAGUUCCUGGGAUUCUGAUAAGAAGCCAGGUUGCGAACCACUGCAUUAGGAGUGUUUGAUUGAAAUCCUAUGUUGCGAAUCAGUCUGUGGGAUAAGAUUUGGGGCCCCACCUUUCCUUUGAUGCUGUUUAGUCAUAGUCCUUGAUUUAUGCCCAUAUCUUUGUUAGAAGAAAUAUGUUCCAUUGUGAUAAUAUUGGUAGAGCUGAAUACGGAUGGCAUCUGUUAUCAGAAUGAGUCUACCUUGUCGGAUGUGCAAACGCUUUCAGUCUUGUUCUCAAAUAAACUUUUUUUUUUUUUUGA